rnacentral:rRNA from 1 species
AUUGAACGCUGGCGGCAGGCUUAACACAUGCAAGUCGAGCGAGCGGCGGACGGGUGAGUAAUGUCUGGGAAACUGCCUGAUGGAGGGGGAUAACUACGGGAAAGGGUAGCUAAUAACGCAUACCAUCAGAUGUGCCCAGAUGGGAUUAGCUAGGAGGUGGGGUAAUGGCUCACCUAGGCGACGAUCCCUAGCUGGUCGGAGAGGAUGACCAGCCACACUGGAACUGAGACACGGGCCAGACUCCUACGGGAGGCAGCAGUGGGGAAUAUUGCACGAUGGGCGCAAGCCUGAUGCAGCCAUGCCGCGUGUGUGAAGAAGGCCGUCGGGUUGUAAAGCACUUUCAGCGAAGAGGCGUUACUCGCAGAAGAAGCACCGGCUAACUCCGUGCCAGCAGCCGCGGUAAUUC